rnacentral:rRNA from 1 species
GGGUUUGAUCAUGGCUCAGAACUAACGCUAGUGGCGUGUCUUAGUCAUGCAAGUCGAGCGAGAAAGUUCUCUUCGGAGAACGAGUACAGCGGCAAACGGGUGAGUAACGCGUGGGUAAUCUACCUUUGAGUUGGGGAUAACACUCCUAACGGAGUGCUAAUACCGAAUGUGCUGUCGGGAUCUCGGUUUCGACAUGAAAGAUGGCCUCUGCUUGCAUGCUGUCGCUCAAAGAUGAGCCCGCGUCCUAUUAGCUUGUUGGUGGGGUAACGGCCUACCAAGGCAACGAUGGGUAGCCGGCCUGAGAGGGUGAACGGCCACACUGGCACUGAGACAAGGGCCAGUCCCCUACGGGGGCCAGCAGUCUAGAAAUUUGCACAAUCGCCGAAAGGCGGAUGCAGCGACGCCACGUGGAGGAUGAAGCCUUUCGGGGUGUAAACUCCUGUCAGAGGGGAAGAAGGUGCGGGUGCUAAUACCAUCCGUUACUUGACGGUACCCUCAGAGGAAGCUCCGGCUAACUGCGUGCCAGCAGCCGCGGUAAUACGUGGGGAGCAAGCGUUGUUCGGAUUUACUGGGCGUAAAGAGCUCGUAGGCGGAUGCGUAAGUCGGAUGUGAAAUCCUUUGGCUCAACCAGAGAAUUGCACCCGAAACUGCAUGUCUUGAGUUCA